CUGAGGUUCUGUUGAUUUUGUCAGUUUUUAGUAUCUGGGAGCUUACACUGGUAUAUAAGGCUUGAUUAGCCAAUCCAGAACUGGAAAUAUAUUCUCACUCUGGAUUUAGCCUAGCAUUAAUACAGCCACUUUAAGCUUCUGGAGGGAAGAGAGAUGCAUAGUGAUAAACCGUUAUUUUAUUUUAACUCAGAAGCACCUCUAGCUUACCUAACUCAUUUAUUCACCUUUACUACACGCAGAAUGACCCAAUGGCAAAAAACGAGGCUUGGAAGGACCACUAAGAUCUCUUCUGAACCGGUAUAACGCCCAUUUGCCCAUUGUAACUGCCUGCAGGAUGACCACCAGCUGUUACUGCAUCAAAACAGACACACAGAGGGAAGCAACAGAGUUGCCAUGGGAACUGCAGUGAAGCAUAUGAUGGUAGAACUUUCAGCUAGCUAUCUCUGGCUUCUGUGGUCUCUGGAAGGCACAAGGGUUAUCGCUGGAAUGUCAUCAGCUGUUGACAGGCUUCCUGAACCCUCGAGCAGUACAGGAAUAUUAUAUCAUUUAAAGUAUUUCUUGAAAGCAACUAAGCAACAGCUACACAACCCAGUUUUUAAGUUUCUUCAGUUUGAUCGGACCUCCGAAAUCUGAUGACUGUUUGAACUUCCAGGAAUAUAAUUAUGCUUGUUAAAAUCUUAACAUCCAGCAAACCACUCGAAACAGUCCCGAACUGUUGAAAUAUGACAGUAGCUGUAGUUAUCUCUGAUUUACACUAAAUCAAGAUAAAUUGAUCUUCUCUAGUCUGAAAUUCUGAAAAGAGUUAAUCAUUUAGAAAUAUUAAUCUGAUACAGUAAUAUGUUCACUGAGGAUAUAUGAAUAAGAUAAGAUCUAAUUUAGGCUUUUAUCCACAUCAAAGGUUAUCAAGUACUGAAUGAGCUUCAUCUUUGAGAUCCUAACCUAGUCUAGGUCACCAGAACACAAUAGAACAUUAAUUUAUGUAAUUGAGCUUUGUAUGUUUCUAUCUAGUCAGUGAGGACAGUUAUAAUGAGUCAUAUUCAAUCAUGCAGUUUGCUCAUCUUAACAGGGAUGUUCAUUUGUGGACAUAUCACAAUGUGGUUUUGCUAAUGGAAACUCUGCAACAUGCUAUGGAGUAACUCUGAGUAUGAUAGACUAACUCCGAAAAGAUCUUGAGUUCAUCUCUAUAAACUUGUUUGGGAAUAAAGAGGUGCUGUGGAACA
rnacentral:lncRNA from 1 species